rnacentral:rRNA from 1 species
UACGAAGGGGGCUAGCGUUGCUCGGAAUCACUGGGCGUAAAGCGCACGUAGGCGACUUUCUAAGUCAGGGGUGAAAUCCUGGAGCUCAACUCCAGAACUGCCUUUGAUACUGGAGAGCUUGAGUCCGGGAGAGGUGAGUGGAACUCCGAGUGUAGAGGUGAAAUUCGUAGAUAUUCGGAAGAACACCAGUGGCGAAGGCGGCUCACUGGCCCGGUACUGACGCUGAUGUGCGAAAGCGUGGGGAGCAAACAGG